rnacentral:misc_RNA from 1 species
UUCGGUAUCCUGUGUUGCUUACCCAUGGAAAGGAAUCCGACGGUCUCGUUAGUCCCUCUCCGCCCCCGGCCCUCGCGGGUUGCGGGGCGGACUCGAGGCACGCCCCGUGUUCCCGGCAAGCCUCGCCCAGUCGCUUGGCUGCCUCGGCCCACGGUGCGCUCUGCCCGUUCUCUCGGACGCCGAACGUUAAGCGCGGGCGUGGGGUCUGUCACAGACUCCGUUCGCCCUAGCAACGCAUCUUGUCCCUCGACGCGAACGACCGCCGUGCCCGUCUCGAGCCCGCGGCCUCACGGCCCGUCGUGCGGGCGUCGGYGUCGCGAAGGAACGCUACCUGGUUGAUCCUGCCAGUAGUCAUAUGCUUGUCUC